rnacentral:rRNA from 1 species
GUAAACGGCGGCCGUAACUAUAACGGUCCUAAGGUAGCGAAAUUCCUUGUCGGGUAAGUUCCGACCUGCACGAAUGGCGUAACGACUUCCCCACUGUCUCGACCAGGAGCUCGGCGAAAUUGCAGUACGAGUAAAGAUGCUCGUUAAGCGCAGAAGGACGAAAAGACCCCGGGACCUUUACUAUACCUUGGUAUUGGCAUUCGGUGUGGAUUGUGUAGCAUAGGCGGGAGGCCGAGAGGCGCGGUCGCCAGAUCGCGCGGAGCCGUAAGGUGAAAUACCGCUCUGUUCGCAUUGGAUGUCUAACCUCGAACAGUCAUCCUGUUCAGGGACAGUGCCUGGCGGGUAGUUUAACUGGGGCGGUUGCCUCCCAAAGAGUAACGGAGGCGCCCAAAGGUCCGCUCAGCCCGGUUGGCAAUCGGGUGGCGAGUGCAAGUGCACAAGCGGGCUUGACUGCGAGGACGACGGUCCGAGCAGGGACGAAAGUCGGGACUAGUGAUCCGGUGCCGGUGUACGGACGCGGCAUCGCUCAACGGAUAAAAGGUACCCCGGGGAUAACAGGCUGAUCAUUCCCAAGAGUCCAUAUCGACGGGAUGGUUUGGCACCUCGAUGUCGGCUCGUCGCAUCCUGGGGCUGGAGCAGGUCCCAAGGGUUCGGCUGUUCGCCGAUUAAAGCGGCACGCGAGCUGGGUUCAGAACGUCGUGAGACAGUUUGGUCUCUAUCCUCUGCGCUCGUUGGAAUGCUGAGGAGGCCUGCCCAUAGUACGAGAGGACCUGGGUGGACGAACCUCUGGUAUGCCGGUUGUCACGCCAGUGGCACGGCCGGUUGGCUACGUUCGGAAGGGAUAACCGCUGAAAGCAUCUAAGCGGGAAGCCUGCUCCAAGAUAAGCAUUCCGUGGAACCUUCGAGUUCCUGUAGUCCCCAUGCAGAACACGUGGUCGAUAGGCCGGACGUGGAAGCCCCGCGAGGGGUGGAGCCGACCGGUACUAACGGACGAAAGGCAACACUAA